UUAAGUUAUUAAGGGCGCACGGUGGAUGCCUUGGCACUAGAAGCCGAUGAAGGACGUUACUAACGACGAUAUGCUUUGGGGAGCUGUAAGUAAGCUUUGAUCCAGAGAUUUCCGAAUGGGGAAACCCAGCAUGAGUUAUGUCAUGUUAUCGAUAUGUGAAUACAUAGCAUAUCAGAAGGCACACCCGGAGAACUGAAACAUCUUAGUACCCGGAGGAAGAGAAAGAAAAUUCGAUUCCCUUAGUAGCGGCGAGCGAAACGGGAAGAGCCCAAACCAACAAGCUUGCUUGUUGGGGUUGUAGGACACUCUAUACGGAGUUACAAAGGACGACAUUAGACGAAUCAUCUGGAAAGAUGAAUCAAAGAAGGUAAUAAUCCUGUAGUCGAAAAUGUUGUCUCUCUUGAGUGGAUCCUGAGUACGACGGAGCACGUGAAAUUCCGUCGGAAUCUGGGAGGACCAUCUCCUAAGGCUAAAUACUCUCUAGUGACCGAUAGUGAACCAGUACCGUGAGGGAAAGGUGAAAAGCACCCCGGAAGGGGAGUGAAAUAGAACCUGAAACCGUGUGCUUACAAGUAGUCAGAGCCCGUUAAUGGGUGAUGGCGUGCCUUUUGUAGAAUGAACCGGCGAGUUACGAUUUGAUGCAAGGUUAAGCAGUAAAUGUGGAGCCGUAGCGAAAGCGAGUCUGAAUAGGGCGUUUAGUAUUUGGUCGUAGACCCGAAACCAGGUGAUCUACCCUUGGUCAGGUUGAAGUUCAGGUAACACUGAAUGGAGGACCGAACCGACUUACGUUGAAAAGUGAGCGGAUGAACUGAGGGUAGCGGAGAAAUUCCAAUCGAACCUGGAGAUAGCUGGUUCUCUCCGAAAUAGCUUUAGGGCUAGCCUCAAGUGAUGAUUAUUGGAGGUAGAGCACUGUUUGGACGAGGGGCCCCUCUCGGGUUACCGAAUUCAGACAAACUCCGAAUGCCAAUUAAUUUAACUUGGGAGUCAGAACAUGGGUGAUAAGGUCCGUGUUCGAAAGGGAAACAGCCCAGACCACCAGCUAAGGUCCCAAAAUAUAUGUUAAGUGGAAAAGGAUGUGGCGUUGCCCAGACAACUAGGAUGUUGGCUUAGAAGCAGCCAUCAUUUAAAGAGUGCGUAAUAGCUCACUAGUCGAGUGACACUGCGCCGAAAAUGUACCGGGGCUAAACAUAUUACCGAAGCUGUGGAUUGUCCUUUGGACAAUGGUAGGAGAGCGUUCUAAGGGCGUUGAAGCAUGAUCGUAAGGACAUGUGGAGCGCUUAGAAGUGAGAAUGCCGGUGUGAGUAGCGAAAGACGGGUGAGAAUCCCGUCCACCGAUUGACUAAGGUUUCCAGAGGAAGGCUCGUCCGCUCUGGGUUAGUCGGGUCCUAAGCUGAGGCCGACAGGCGUAGGCGAUGGAUAACAGGUUGAUAUUCCUGUACCACCUAUAAUCGUUUUAAUCGAUGGGGGGACGCAGUAGGAUAGGCGAAGCGUGCGAUUGGAUUGCACGUCUAAGCAGUAAGGCUGAGUAUUAGGCAAAUCCGGUACUCGUUAAGGCUGAGCUGUGAUGGGGAGAAGACAUUGUGUCUUCGAGUCGUUGAUUUCACACUGCCGAGAAAAGCCUCUAGAUAGAAAAUAGGUGCCCGUACCGCAAACCGACACAGGUAGUCAAGAUGAGAAUUCUAAGGUGAGCGAGCGAACUCUCGUUAAGGAACUCGGCAAAAUGACCCCGUAACUUCGGGAGAAGGGGUGCUCUUUAGGGUUAACGCCCAGAAGAGCCGCAGUGAAUAGGCCCAAGCGACUGUUUAUCAAAAACACAGGUCUCUGCUAAACCGUAAGGUGAUGUAUAGGGGCUGACGCCUGCCCGGUGCUGGAAGGUUAAGAGGAGUGGUUAGCUUCUGCGAAGCUACGAAUCGAAGCCCCAGUAAACGGCGGCCGUAACUAUAACGGUCCUAAGGUAGCGAAAUUCCUUGUCGGGUAAGUUCCGACCCGCACGAAAGGCGUAACGAUUUGGGCACUGUCUCAACGAGAGACUCGGUGAAAUCAUAGUACCUGUGAAGAUGCAGGUUACCCGCGACAGGACGGAAAGACCCCGUGGAGCUUUACUGUAGCCUGAUAUUGAAAUUCGGCACAGCUUGUACAGGAUAGGUAGGAGCCUUUGAAACGUGAGCGCUAGCUUACGUGGAGGCGCUGGUGGGAUACUACCCUAGCUGUGUUGGCUUUCUAACCCGCACCACUUAUCGUGGUGGGAGACAGUGUCAGGCGGGCAGUUUGACUGGGGCGGUCGCCUCCUAAAAGGUAACGGAGGCGCUCAAAGGUUCCCUCAGAAUGGUUGGAAAUCAUUCAUAGAGUGUAAAGGCAUAAGGGAGCUUGACUGCGAGACCUACAAGUCGAGCAGGGUCGAAAGACGGACUUAGUGAUCCGGUGGUUCCGCAUGGAAGGGCCAUCGCUCAACGGAUAAAAGCUACCCCGGGGAUAACAGGCUUAUCUCCCCCAAGAGUUCACAUCGACGGGGAGGUUUGGCACCUCGAUGUCGGCUCAUCGCAUCCUGGGGCUGUAGUCGGUCCAAGGGUUGGGCUGUUCGCCCAUUAAAGCGGUACGCGAGCUGGGUUCAGAACGUCGUGAGACAGUUCGGUCCCUAUCCGUCGUGGGCGUAGGAAAUUUGAGAGGAGCUGUCCUUAGUACGAGAGGACCGGGAUGGACAUACCUCUGGUGUACCAGUUGUCGUGCCAACGGCAUAGCUGGGUAGCUAUGUGUGGACGGGAUAAGUGCUGAAAGCAUCUAAGCAUGAAGCCCCCCUCAAGAUGAGAUUUCCCAACUUCGGUUAUAAGAUCCCUCAAAGAUGAUGAGGUUAAUAGGUUCGAGGUGGAAGCAUGGUGACAUGUGGAGCUGACGAAUACUAAUCGAUCGAAGACUUAAUCAA
rnacentral:rRNA from 1 species